GACGAACGCUGGCGGCGUGCUUAACACAUGCAAGUCGAGCGGUAAGGCCCUUUCGGGGGUACACGAGCGGCGAACGGGUGAGUAACACGUGGGUGACCUGCCCUCAGCUCUGGGAUAAGCCCGGGAAACUGGGUCUAAUACCGGAUAUGACUUCAUGACGCAUGUUGUGGAGUGGAAAGCCUUGUGCGGCUGAGGAUGGGCCCGCGGCCUAUCAGCUUGUUGGUGGGGUGAUGGCCUACCAAGGCGACGACGGGUAGCCGGCCUGAGAGGGCGACCGGCCACACUGGGACUGAGAUACGGCCCAGACUCCUACGGGAGGCAGCAGUGGGGAAUCUUGCGCAAUGGGCGAAAGCCUGACGCAGCGACGCCGCGUGAGGGA
rnacentral:rRNA from 1 species